UUUGCCCUCUUUUCUCUCUCUAGCCGCCGGCCUCUCUGCCUUCUCUCUAAAAUUUUUCCCCUCUCUCUCUCUUUCUCUUAUGGCUGGCGCUUCCACCGUUUUCCUCACCGUCGACCGAUGAGACUUCAGCCUCCCUCUCUCCCUCAAAGCCUUCUUUCCUUCCGAUCGACGGAUCUAGCACUCCCUGCCUCGGUCGACGGUGACCCAACAGGGUCUACCCUUUCCCUUGUCGGUGGCUGGUAUACCGACCUCGAAAAGCUUUGGCUUCCACUCUCCUUUAGCCGGCACUCCAAAGAUCCAACACUUCCUUCAAAACUCACCAAUCUCCCUCACUCAAACAAACCCGAAUCCAAAUCCUAGCCCCCUACUCUCUCUCAUUUUUUUUGUUUUUUUGUAUAUAUGUUAUUGUGCUUUGUUUUUUGAUUGUUGUUUUUUUAUUUUUGCCUGUGGCUAGGUAGCUUGCUGGUAGAUUUAGGAUUUUUUUUUUUUUGGAUUUUGAUCUCUCUUUUGGUUUUGCAGGUGGUGUCCUUAAAAGCUAGGUUGUCCAAAAAUUUGGACAACCCAGCAAUGGAGUUCUGGCACCAAGGAGUUAGUGGCCGAGCCCCAUCAUGCAUGGUGGUUGGGGAAGGGAUGGCCAGGCAUACGCCCAGUCAUUUCUUUCUCUCUUUUUAUUUAUUUAUUUUUUAUUUUAUUAUAUAUUUUUUAUUAUAUAUUUUUUUUAUUAUAUUAUUUUUUUUGAGGUGUCUACAUGGAUAAUGACCUGUCAUACUAAUUUAUUACUUAAUUUCAU
rnacentral:lncRNA from 1 species